AAUCUGCUUCCGUCGUCUUGAAUAAAGUAGUAAUCCACUGCACUGCCUAAGCGCUUAUCUUCAUCUAAAAUCUCGGUCUACAAGAGAAUCGGUCAACACAGACACAAGACCAUCCUCUACACAGUUAGAGAAACUUUCCUCCUACCUUUCGGGAAACUCAGCACUUUAGAAACAAACCCUCUCAUCUAGGUCUUUACUCCACCCCUACAUUAACACUAUAUAGUGAGACCCCCAUCUCUACAAAAAAUACAAAAAAAAUUGGCCGAGCGAGGUGGCGCGCGCCUGUGGUCCCAGCUACUCGGGAGGCUGAGGUAGGAGGAUCCCUUGAGUCCAGGGUGAGUCCAGGGGUCCCAGGCUGCACAGUGGGAGCUGAGAUCCCGCCACUUCACUCCAGCCUGAGCAACAGAGCCUGUCUCAAAGGAAAAAAAAAAAAAAAAGUAGUGCAGGUUUUUAACAUUAGUUAUGUGUUGAAAUAGUAUUUUUAGCAUAUUGAAUUAAAAGUAUGAUCGAAAUUCACUUGUUUCUUUUUAAUGUUGCUAUUAGAAAAUGUAUAAUUUCACAUGUUGCUGGCAUUCUGUUUCUGUCGGCCAGGACUGCUCUAGAGGCAAGGAUGGUUUUCCCAGUCUUAACUCCUCAUUAUACUCAGUACUUUGAGAAAGGGGG
rnacentral:lncRNA from 1 species